GUCCACGCCCUAAACGAUGUCUACUAGUUGUCGGGUCUUAAUUGACUUGGUAACGCAGCUAACGCGUGAAGUAGACCGCCUGGGGAGUACGGUCGCAAGAUUAAAACUCAAAGGAAUUGACGGGGACCCGCACAAGCGGUGGAUGAUGUGGAUUAAUUCGAUGCAACGCGAAAACCUUACCUACCCUUGACAUGGAUGGAAUCCCGGAGAGAUUUGGGAGUGCCCGAAAGGGAACCAUUACACAGGUGCUGCAUGGCUGUCGU
rnacentral:rRNA from 1 species